CCUCCGGGCGGCAGCAGUGAGGAAUAUUGGUCAAUGGGCGGGAGCCUGAACCAGCCAAGUCGCGUGAAGGAAGAAGGUACUUAGUAUUGUAAACUUCUUUUGUCGGGGAACAAAGGCGGAGACGCGUCUCCGGAUGAGUGUACCCGAAGAAAAAGCAUCGGCUAACUCCGUGCCAGCAGCCGCGGUAAUACGGAGGAUGCGAGCGUUAUCCGGAUUUAUUGGGUUUAAAGGGUGCGCAGGCGGGAGAUCAAGUCAGCGGUAAAAUGUCGGUGCUCACCCCCGGCCGGCCGUUGAAACUGGUUUUCUAGAGUUGGAGAGAAGUAUGCGGAAUUCGUGGUGUAGCGGUGAAAUGCUUAGAUAUCACGAAGAACUCCGAUUGCGAAGGCAGCUUACUAAACUGCCACUGACAUUGAUGCUCGAAAGUGUGGGUAUCAAACAGGAGUAGAUACCCUUGUAGUC
rnacentral:rRNA from 1 species